UACGAAGGGGGCUAGCGUUGCUCGGAAUCACUGGGCGUAAAGGGUGCGUAGGCGGGUCUUUAAGUCAGGGGUGAAAUCCUGGAGCUCAACUCCAGAACUGCCUUUGAUACUGAGGAUCUUGAGUCCGGGAGAGGUGAGUGGAACUGCGAGUGUAGAGGUGAAAUUCGUAGAUAUGACAUAGAACACCAAUUGCGAAGGCAGCUCACUACUCAAUCAUUGACGCUGAGGCACGAAAGCGUGGGGAUCAAACAGG
rnacentral:rRNA from 1 species